rnacentral:rRNA from 1 species
AGAGUUUGAUUCUGGCUCAGGGCGAACGCUGGCGGCGUGCCUGACACAUGCAAGUCGAACGGGCGAGGUCUUCGGACCGAGCUAGUGGCGAACGGGUGAGUAACACGUGGAUACAUGUCCCGAAGUGGGGGAUAACCAUCUGAAAAGGUGGCUAAUACCGCAUAAGCCUGAAGAGGGAAAGCUACAAAAGUGGUGCUUUGGGAGUGGUCCGCGGUCCAUCAGCUAGUUGGUGAGGUAAAGGCUCACCAAGGCAACGACGGAUAGCCGACGUGAGAGCGUGGUCGGCCACAAGGACACUGAGAUACGGGUCCUACUCCUACGGGAGGCAGCAGUGCGGAAUUUUGGGCAAUGGGCGAAAGCCUGACCCAGCGACGUCGCGUGCGGGAUGAAGGUCUUCGGAUCGUAAACCGCUGUGGUAAGGGAAGAAAGCCUUAAGGAAUGAAAAGCCUUGGGGAGGGACGGUACCUUACUAGGAAGCCCCGGCUAACUACGUGCCAGCAGCCGCGGUAAUACGUAGGGGGCGAGCGUUGCCCGGAAUCACUGGGUGUAAAGGGAGCGUAGGCGGCCAUUUAAGUCGACUGUGAAAAGCAGGAGCUCAACUCCAGUCUUGCGGUCGAAACUGGAUGGCUUGAGGACGGUAGAGGAAGACGGAACUGCCAGUGUAGGGGUAAAAUCCUUAGAUAUUGGCAGGAACGCCGGUGACGAAGGUGGUCUUCUGGGCCGGACCUGACGCUGAGGCUCGAAAGCCAGGGGAGCGAACGGGAUUAGAUACCCUGGUAGUC